CACAAACAUUUUCUUUACCUGCAUUUAAAUAAUUCAAUGAGUUGCGCUGUCUCACACCAGUUUCAAGUUGGUGAAAUUCCACUGACUUAAUUAGAGGUACACCUGAUUUACACCCAGGUGUGAAUAUGACAAUGGGACUAUGUACAGUGUAUUAAUUCUGUUUGAGAUUAUGAAAUCUUUGUGUGUAGGGAUGCAUAGCUCCCGAAUCGCCAGCCCACGGGCGCGGCAAACUGCUCCCAUGGCUACGAGGCAGGAGUGACCUUCAAUCCAGCGUUUGUGUUUGGGAAACUUAUUUGGCCGAUUUGAUUGUACCCUCGCAGCUGGUGUUCACGCGCUCAAGAGAUGGGUUCGUUAUCUUAUGUGCAUGUACACUGCCUGGCGUUUCUAUGCGCAGGAAUGUGACCACUAAGAAGAGUUGUAAACAAAGCCAGGAGAGAAAUAAAAACCCCAGGAAAAGUUUUCCUGGGAGGCUUUUUGCAAGAGGCUUGUAAAGCUCUCUGGCUACCAACAAACCUGGCGUUCUGUUUCCUUUCCUGUGUCGUCACCACAGCUGGUGACCCCGACGUGAUGCCCCUCUACUCACCGGCUGGAUACGCCGAGCGCGCCCGCGGCUGUUUGCCGCCCCUUAUUCAUCAUCAGAGAAAACGGAUGCCAGCUGAACAGCAUUCAAUGUACCAUGCAUUUACUGGCACAAUAAGGAUUAUUUUUGUGUUUUAUGGCAAAAAUUGUUGUUAAAAAUUGCAUACCAACAGUCUUUGGAAGCAAGGACAUGGAAGGUUAACCCACUCCCCAUAUUGCCCAUGGGAUCCUUCUGGCUACCUCAGAUUUCUAGCCAGAGGGCUGGGGAGGGAGGAAAGCAAUUAGACACCUGAGGUUGUACCGAGUGCACUCCUCAAAAGUGGGUGUGCUUGUCCCGGUUUGUUGCUCCAAAGCUCUGUAAUAAAGUUAUUUUACUGGAAGAGUGAAGGUUUCCUUUGUAGGUUAAAAGAAGCCGAGAAAGGGAGAAGAGGAAAAAGCACAGAAUGCGUUAAUUGAGAGGAAAAUACAGCUUGCAGGCUCAUCCAAGGCCACAGCCAAAACUUGGCUGACCCCCAAGACAAGGGGGGGCUUAAAUGUGCCCGAGCAACUAUGAGAUCUGCAAAACACUGCCAGGCAUUAAUGAAAUGUGUUAGGUUUCUUUUCUCACAGGUAGAAAAGUGCUACCCAAAGACCCUAGCACCCCUGCCAUUUAUUAAAACCAGGAGACUGAGUCUAUGUAAAGUCCAUCAAUGAAAGACUGCUUUGGCUCCAUGCUGGAAAGGCUCUUUCCAAGUCCUGUUAACCACCAACACCGCUGUGAAGUGCCAAGGACUGACUGCCUGGACCCAUGCUUUUCACUGCAAAAAGACCCCUCCACCUCGGGAGGACUCUUUGACUGAUGAUAAGCCUAUUUCUUCUUCUAGCCCUGCUGUGCCUUCUGGACAGCAGGAAAAAGGAAAAAAAGACAAGGUGAAGUGCUAGUAACCUCUCCCUUGUCCACUGACAGACCUACUGUUGCUCUGAAUUUUUCCAGAAAAAGCAAAACCAUUACAGGGUGAUGUGCUAGUAACCUCUCCCCUGUAUGAUGCUAAACCACACUGUUUCAGGAAAAGAGAAGAAGGAACACUUGCUUCCUUGAAACCACAAAGUCCAGGAAUUCCUGACUACAAGAGACAUUAAGAACUGACCCUGGUGAAGAAACAAAGAAUUAUACACUAGCAGGAAGAAACUUGUGGGACCCAUGCUUGGGAACGUGGUAUUGAUUGGAUUUUGGGGUUUAUUCUACAGGCUGCGCCCUGUGUUUUGAAUAAGUCCUUCAGUAUGUAUUGCCUUCCCUAAUUGGAUUUUAAAUGAUAAGUACCAAAGGCACCUUGUUGCCAUUACCCCUGCUAUCUCCUCCAUUACACUAUUACCCUUGUAACACAUCAAAAUACAGACAAUGACCCAAAAGUUGCUGACAAAGAUGGUAUUAAAUAUCACUGAGGCUAAGAAGGCAUUGCAGUGGGAUCUAGCAUGUUCAGGCUUGGCCCACUGCCCUUACAGACACAUCAGGAGUACCAUCUGAUCUGCGGCCAUGGAGACAUACUUAGAGACUUUCUAGGUAAAAGUGCAAACGUUCUCAAUGCUCCUUCCAAGCAUAUGGACUGGUUGAGGGGGUGUGGCCUUCCACAUACCGAAUCCUGCCGGGUCCAUGGGGAGGAUGCAUGUGGGAUUGAGUAAUUCACCAAGACAUCUGGGAAAUUAGACUACCUGGUAUGCCCAGUUAAUUUUAGUCAGUGCUCCUGGGAUUACACCUGACAGGACGCUUACUUUUUCAAGUUAAUGACAGCUGUGUGUAUGUUAAUGACACCACAUUACAAGACAUUUGGGUCCACCUGGCACAAGUAUUAAAUCAAUCUGAUUUCUGCCUGGCCGUUGCCCCGGACAUGCAAGGUCUGUUAAGUACCUGCCUUGUUCCUGUCUGCAAACCACCCAGCAACAUCUGGGGUGUGAGACAGUAAAAGAAAUGUGUUGUUUUAAGCUUACUGAUAAUAGUAAUUGUAUGCAAUAGCAAAUUGAUAUGCUAAAAUGUUAUGCUUAAGUUAUCCGCCAAGACAUUUUUCCUUUUUGGUGGGAUUAUAUCUAGUCAUAGCAACUCUUAGAGUGGAUAAAGACCCUUUUAUAGUAUGGGGUCCUAGUUUUGAUUUUUGGCGUUUUACUUUGCUGCUUUAUUUAAUGUAUACCCAAUCUAGUGACAUUGUGCAUGCUACCCUGCGAAGGUGCUUUAUUUAAACACCGCAUCUAUAAAAUAAAACAGGGGGGGAUGUAGGGAUGCAUAGCUCCCGAAUCGCCAGCCCACGGGCGCGGCAAACUGCUCCCAUGGCUACGAGGCAGGAGUGACCUUCAAUCCAGCGUUUGUGUUUGGGAAACUUAUUUGGCUGAUUUGAUUGUACCCUCGCAGCUGGUGUUCACGCGCUCAAGAGAUGGGUUCGUUAUCUUAUGUGCAUGUACACUGCCUGGCGUUUCUAUGCGCAGGAAUGUAACCACUAAGAAGUGUUGUAAACAAAGCCAGGAGAGAAAUAAAAACCCCAGGAAAAGUUUUCCUGGGAGGCUUUUUGCAAGAGGCUUGUAAAGCUCUCUGGCUACCAACAAA